rnacentral:rRNA from 1 species
UACAGAGGGGGCAAGCGUUGUUCGGAAUUACUGGGCGUAAAGGGCGCGUAGGCGGCCUGCUAAGUCGAACGUGAAAUCCCUGGGCUCAACCCGGGAACUGCGUCCGAUACUGGCAGGCUUGAAUCCGGGAGAGGGAUGUGGAAUUCCAGGUGUAGCGGUGAAAUGCGUAGAUAUCUGGAGGAACACCGGUGGCGAAGGCGGCAUCCUGGACCGGUAUUGACGCUGAGGCGCGAAAGCCAGGGGAGCAAACGGG